rnacentral:rRNA from 1 species
AGAGUUUGAUCCUGGCUCAGGAUGAACGCUGGCGGCGUGCCUAACACAUGCAAGUCGAGCGAUUCUCUUCGGAGAAGAGCGGCGGACGGGUGAGUAACGCGUGGGUAACCUGCCCUGUACACACGGAUAACAUACCGAAAGGUAUGCUAAUACGAGAUAAUAUGCUUUUAUCGCAUGGUAGAAGUAUCAAAGUUUUUGCGGUACAGGAUGGACCCGCGUCUGAUUAGCUAGUUGGUAAGGUAACGGCUUACCAAGGCGACGAUCAGUAGCCGACCUGAGAGGGUGAUCGGCCACAUUGGAACUGAGACACGGUCCAAACUCCUACGGGAGGCAGCAGUGGGGAAUAUUGCACAAUGGGCGAAAGCCUGAUGCAGCAACGCCGCGUGAGCGAUGAAGGCCUUCGGGUCGUAAAGCUCUGUCCUCAAGGAAGAUAAUGACGGUACUUGAGGAGGAAGCCCCGGCUAACUACGUGCCAGCAGCCGCGGUAAUGCGUAGGGGGCUAGCGUUAUCCGGAAUUACUGGGCGUAAAGAGUGCGUAGGUGGUUUCUUAAGCCAGAGGUGAAAGGCUACGGCUCAACCGUAGUAAGCCUUUGAAACUGGGAAACUUGAGUGCAGGAGAGGAGAGUGGAAUUUCUAGUGUAGCGGUGAAAUGCGUAGAUAUUAGGAGGAACACCAGUUGCGAAGGCGGCUCUCUGGACUGUAACUGACACUGAGGCACGAAAGCGUGGGAGCAAACAGGAUUAGAUACCCUGGUAGUCCACGCCGUAAACGAUGAGUACUAGCUGUCGGAGGUUACCCCCUUCGGUGGCGCAGCUAACGCAUUAAGUACUCCGCCUGGGAAGUACGCUCGCAAGAGUGAAACUCAAAGGAAUUGACGGGGACCCGCACAAGUAGCGGAGCAUGUGGUUUAAUUCGAAGCAACGCGAAGAACCUUACCUAAGCUUGACAUCCUUUUGACUGAUGCCUAAUCGCAUCUUUCCCUUCGGGGACAGAAGUGACAGGUGGUGCAUGGUUGUCGUCAGCUCGUGUCGUGAGAUGUUGGGUUAAGUCCCGCAACGAGCGCAACCCUUGCCUUUAGUUGCCAGCAUUAAGUUGGGCACUCUAGAGGGACUGCCAGGGAUAACCUGGAGGAAGGUGGGGAUGACGUCAAAUCAUCAUGCCCCUUAUGCUUAGGGCUACACACGUGCUACAAUGGGUGGUACAGAGGGCAGCCAAGUCGUGAGGCGGAGCUAAUCCCUUAAAGCCAUUCUCAGUUCGGAUUGUAGGCUGAAACUCGCCUACAUGAAGCUGGAGUUACUAGUAAUCGCAGAUCAGAAUGCUGCGGUGAAUGCGUUCCCGGGUCUUGUACACACCGCCCGUCACACCACGGGAGUUGGGGGCGCCCGAAGCCGGAUUGCUAACCUUUUGGAAGCGUCCGUCGAAGGUGAAAUCAAUAACUGGGGUGAAGUCGUAACAAGGUA